rnacentral:rRNA from 1 species
UACAGAGGGUGCGAGCGUUAAUCGGAAUUACUGGGCGUAAAGCGUGCGCAGGCGGUUCGACAAGUCCGAUGUGAAAGCCCCGGGCUCAACCUGGGAAUGGCAUUGGAAACUGGCGGGCUGGAGUGUGGCAGAGGGGGGUGGAAUUCCGCGUGUAGCAGUGAAAUGCGUAGAGAUGCGGAGGAACACCGAUGGCGAAGGCAGCCCCCUGGGCUGACACUGACGCUCAGGCACGAAAGCGUGGGGAGCAAACAGG